ensembl:lncRNA
UGAGAGUGAGAGUGAGAGUGAGAGUGAGAGUGAGAGUGAGAGUGAGAGUGUGAGUGUGUGUGUGUGUGUGUGUGUGUGUGAGAGUGUGAGUGUGUGAGUGUGUGAGUGUGUGAGAGUAAGAGUGAGAGUGAGAGUGAGUGUGUGAGUUAAAAUAGGGCAGUCAGGUCAGUGAGGAUCAGGGGGUUCCAGAAUCUGCUAAAAGAGCUCAUCCCCUCCGCAGACGCACAGACACACACACACACACACACACACACACACACACACACACACACACACAGACACACACACACACACACAGACACCAGAGCUGCCAACUCACACGGAUUCGCCGUGUGACACACGCUUUUGCAUGUUUUCACACGCACACAUCCAAUUUCUCACGCCCAAAAAAAUCUGAUUUUGGGCCGAGACGCGUUCGUUCCUUUUCAAACUCCCCGAGGGUAGCUGGCGCUAAGGAGCGCAUCUGUAACCCUAUUCACUGCACAGACAUCUUAUUUACCCCAAGAAGUCCCGAAGUUAGCGACAGAAGAAGAGUUACAAAGAGAGACAAACGCGGUAGAAACUCGGGAAGAGAAUACAUCGAAUACAUCUCCAAACUGAGCAGAGACUAGAUGUGUAUGAACUGCGGCUGGUUGAUGACAAUAUACCUAUAACUUAACAACCUUCCCCAUCUCCCCCAUACCAUGGGCCAGAGGAGCAUGACCACCUGGGUGAGGAGUUUCUGAAUUAUCAGACCAUGCCAACAACCUUCCUUCAGGACUAAACUGAGAUGGAAAGCUUCUGGGCUGGAAUGGCAACACGGAAACAUAAGGUGACAGGAGCCAAAGAAUUUGAGAGGCUUGCUGCCGUCGCCAAGCUGGUCCUGGUGUUGCCCCAUUCGAAUGCAGAUGCUGAGAGGGUGUUCAGUUGUGGGACUGAACAAAACUAAGACCAGAAAUAGCCUGGCAUUGGAUGGCACCCUGUCCUCAAUAAUGGCCAUAAAGAUGGCCGACCUGGAGCCCUGUUUCAGAUGGGAGCCCCCCUCAGAGGUCAUCAAGGCCUCCAAGAAGGCCACUGGCCAGUACAACCUUGCCCACAGAUCUUAGAAAAUGACUAACCAGCUUCUGAUACCUCAUUUUUUGUUAUUUUUGUCAUGUGUUGAUCUAUUGUAUUGCUUAAAAAGGCUACUGUUUAAGCACUUUAUUUGUUGCACUUUUU